CAGCUGUGAUGUCUUCAAUCUGGUUUUGCUUUGUUGGACAGUUUGUGAAAACACCUCUUGGCUGUCUGAGCAG